CCUACGGGGGGCAGCAGUGGGGAAUAUUGGACAAUGGGGGCAACCCUGAUCCAGCCAUGCCGCGUGGGUGAAGAAGGCCCUCGGGUUGUAAAGCACUUUCAGUGAGGAAGAACGCCUGGUGGUUAAUACCCAUCAGGAAAGACAUCACUCACAGAAGAAGCACCGGCUAACUCCGUGCCAGCAGCCGCGGUAAUACGGAGGGUGCGAGCGUUAAUCGGAAUUACUGGGCGUAAAGCGCGCGUAGGUGGCUUGAUAAGCCGGUUGUGAAAGCCCCGGGCUCAACCUGGGAACGGCAUCCGGAACUGUCAAGCUAGAGUGCAGGAGAGGAAGGUAGAAUUCCCGGUGUAGCGGUGAAAUGCGUAGAGAUCGGGAGGAAUACCAGUGGCGAAGGCGGCCUUCUGGACUGACACUGACACUGAGGUGCGAAAGCGUGGGUAGCAAACAGGAUUAGAUACCCUAGUAGUC
rnacentral:rRNA from 1 species